CCCGAGGAAAAGAAAUCAACCGAGAUUCCCCCAGUAGCGGCGAGCGAACGGGGAGGAGCCCAGAGCCUGAAUCAGCAUGUGUGUUAGUGGAAGCGUCUGGAAAGGCGCGCGAUACAGGGUGACAGCCCCGUACACAAAAGCGCAUGUGCUGUGAGCUCGAUGAGUAGGGCGGGACACGUGGUAUCCUGUCUGAAUAUGGGGGGACCAUCCUCCAAGGCUAAAUACUCCUGACUGACCGAUAGUGAACCAGUACCGUGAGGGAAAGGCGAAAAGAACCCCGGCGAGGGGAGUGAAAAAGAACCUGAAACCGUGUACGUACAAGCAGUGGGAGCACAGGUUUACCUGUGUGACUGCGUACCUUUUGUAUAAUGGGUCAGCGACUUAUAUUCUGUAGCAAGGUUAACCGUAUAGGGGAGCCGGAGGGAAACCGAGUCUUAACCGGGCGUUAAGUUGCAGGGUAUAGACCCGAAACCCGGUGAUCUAGCCAUGGGCAGGUUGAAGGUUGGGUAACACUAACUGGAGGACCGAACCGACUAAUGUUGAAAAAUUAGCGGAUGACCUGUGGCUGGGGGUGAAAGGCCAAUCAAACCGGGAGAUAGCUGGUUCUCCCCGAAAGCUAUUUAGGUAGCGCCUCGUGAAUUCAUCUCCGGGGGUAGAGCACUGUUUCGGCUAGGGGGCCAUCCCGGCUUACCAACCCGAUGCAAACUGCGAAUACCGGAGAAUGUUAUCACGGGAGACACACGGCGGGU
rnacentral:rRNA from 1 species